rnacentral:lncRNA from 1 species
ACUCUUGCUCCUUUGCCUGCUUGCUGUGUGAGACUGAGUAACUGCUAGAUCCUUGGACUUCCAUUCACAGCUACUACUGAACCAUGGUUGGGAAUCGGGCUGCAGACUGUAAGUCAUCAAUAAAUUCCUUUACUAUAUACAGACUAUCCAUAAGUUCUGUGACUCUAGAGAACCCUGACUAAUACAAAUAUUAAAAUGGAAGUGACAUUGUGUUGAAUCCUCUGUGGAAGGAGUAAACAGUAUGGGACUAGUGACCUCAGGACAAGAUCCCACCAAGCUAAGUUUGUUGUUUAUGUGUUUGUAGUUGAAACAGGUGUAGUUGUCUCUGCAUUACCAUGAUAUGUUUGUUUGCUUGUCUGUUUGUUUUCAUUUGGACAUGAAGAGAUAUGAUUGUGUGUUAAAUUGACAAGGGAUGGAUUGUGAAGGCAAUUCUCAAAUGUCAACUUGACUACAUCUGGAAUGAACUACAAUACAGAAAUGGAAGGCACAUCUGUAAUCCAUAUCAUGAGUCUGGAAGACCCAGCCUCCUUAAAGAAUUGUGACCAUGAAAACCUUAGAUCCCAGCAUGGUGCUACACACCUGUAAUCAUAACACUCAGGGGACAGAAGCAUGCAGAUCUUUGAGUUCAAGCUCAGUUUACAGAGCAAGAUCUAGGACAGUCAAGCCUAGGCAGUGAGGGAUGUAAAAGAACAUUGAGCCAUGUUCCAGGCCCAGCAAUCAGCAGAACAUGACAGCCACAGCCACUGAGAUCUACAUUUAUAGUCAAGAAUAGAGGAGGUUACAGAAACAAUUGAUGCUGAUUAGCUGAGCUAAGAAGUUAGCAGUGAUUAAGAAGAGACCAGUAUCACUGAAUUGAAAUCUGGGAAGUUUUUUCUGAAACUACAAAGAAGCUAUGUUCUAGAGAUAUCCAAGGCUGUACUUCAUGCUGCAGAUGGACUUGGUAAUGUGUAAAAAUCACCCAGCUGGUACUGGUUUUGAGUGCAUAAAAGGGUAAUGGACAACAGCAGAGGCUUGACAUUGUGAAAAUUAAGAAAAGGCAAAGUAGCCUGAGUUGCAGUUGCAGUCCCAGAACUGAAGGGAUCAUGCAUAGAAUGUGAUGUCUGGAACCAUAGAGAGAUCCUUUGAGAACCUAUUCAUAAAGCUUUUACAGUGGAAGAACCCAGUGUACUGGAAAUGCCAGUACCAUGGGAUGUUCACCAAGGACAGCAGCACCAAUGCCCCACGUCCAGUGAAGGAACCAGAGCCUGGAGUGCUCUAGAGGGUAGAACUGGAGAAGUGAUGAAGCCCAUUGGAGGAUAUCAUGUGUGGAUCACAGACAUUGAAGUUGAAAAGAGAAAGCUGUGAAUAUGAAGUUUCCUCGUGGACCCCAAGGUUUUAAAGAUUCCAGGGCUAACUGUCAAGGGAAGCUGCUAACUAGGAAUGGAACCAGCCCAAAUGAAAGAAUUGUGUUGCAAGUCAGCAAAGCUGAAAGAAGUUGGACACCAGACAUAGAGAUGCAGAGUUUAGAGUUUGCCCAAAUGGUUUUUGGUCUUGCUUUGGUCAGUAUUUCCUCCUUAUAAUGUUUUGGAAGGUAAUCUGCUUUUGUAUUUGGAUAUUUUAAGAGAUCAUGAAACUCUCAAAAGAGGUUACAGAAUUUGGAAUUUUAACAUUGUUGAGACUUCUAUAGACUGUGGGGACUUUUGAAGUGAAUAUAUUUAUAUAUUUUGCAUUUUGCUAUAGCUAGAUAUGGCCAACAUGGCCUCAUGUGUUUGAACAAACCCUUGGGAAUUAGGCAGUGGAACGUGGUGUUUUCAAAAUGCUUGUCCUAUGGGAAUUUGCAGUACUUGGGGGGUGUGGCCUUAUGGGAGAAGGUGUGGUCUUUUGGGAGGAAGUUGUUCUUUGAUGUCCUGUGCUUAAACUCUGACCAGUAUGAAAGAUCAUCCCUUCUUAACACUUUUUGUUAUAAUUUGGUGAAGGAUGUGGGUAACAGUUCCUCACUAAAAACUUGACUAGCAGUUAUACUAAAGCAAAAGCUAUGUCUUGCAAAUUUGGAGUACAUUAAGUUUGCUUUCUUUUUUUUUUUUAAUAAAUAUUUUAUUUCACACUUACCAACACCAUAUCAGUUUGAAAAGUAUUAUUUAACAAAUAAAUUUGCUCACACAUUUGCUAGCACUAAAUUACAGAAUGUUAAGCUGAAAAGCAACAGGGAACCCGUGACAGCAAUAAAAUUUCUUAAUUUUUAGGAGG